CUUACCUUGAGUAUACAAGAUCCAAGGAGAGAAGAUCACUGGCUCAAAACAGUGGAGGACUGAGAAAGUGCUCUGAUCUGCUGCUAGUAGCAUGCACUUGGCUUUUAUGUGCAGGUGGGAGGAGCUGCUCCUUACGUGUAACAAAAGACUUGCUGGAGGAUCUGCUUUCUUGUGCUUCCAACCUAUUUUGCCAUGAGUUUGCUGUUACAGAAUAUGAAAAGCCUGAGGUACUGCCCUUGAGAGGUGCUGAAAGCCCCUUGGACUUGAAGAAUAUCCUGAAUUUCCACUGUCUUCAGUAAGAAAAGAAAAUACUCAGCACCAGGUAGGAAGUAAAAGAGACCUGAUUUACUGUACAAAAAAUGAG